rnacentral:rRNA from 1 species
CAAUAGCGUAUACUAAAGUUGUUGCGAUUAAAAAGCUCGUAGUUGGAUCUCAGGCAUGGGCGCACGGUCCGCCUCGCGGCGGUCACUGUGUGUUUUGUUUCCCAUCCUACGCUUCCCGGUUAUCAGCCCAUGGUGCUCUUCACUGAGCGUUUUGGGUGGCCGGAACGUUUACUUUGAAGAAAUUAGAGUGUUCAAAGCAGGCACGUCGCCUGAAUAAUGGUGCAUGGAAUAAUGGAAUAGGACCUCGGUUCUAUUUUGCUGGUUUUCGGAACACGAGGUAAUGAUUAAGAGGGACAGGCGGGGGCAUCCGUAUUGCGGUGUUAGAGGUGAAAUUCUUGGAUCAUCGCAAGACGAACAACUGCGAAAGCAUUUGCCAAGCAUGUUUUCAUUAG